rnacentral:rRNA from 1 species
UGGGGAAUAUUGCACAAUGGGCGCAAGCCUGAUGCAGCCAUGCCGCGUGUGUGAAGAAGGCCUUCGGGUUGUAAAGCACUUUCAGCGGGGAGGAAGGCGAUAAGGUUAAUAACCUUGUCGAUUGACGUUACCCGCAGAAGAAGCACCGGCUAACUCCGUGCCAGCAGCCGCGGUAAUACGGAGGGUGCAAGCGUUAAUCGGAAUUACUGGGCGUAAAGCGCACGCAGGCGGUCUGUCAAGUCGGAUGUGAAAUCCCCGGGCUCAACCUGGGAACUGCAUUCGAAACUGGCAGGCUAGAGUCUUGUAGAGGGGGGUAGAAUUCCAGGUGUAGCGGUGAAAUGCGUAGAGAUCUGGAGGAAUACUGGUGGCGAAGGCGGCCCCCUGGACGAAGACUGACGCUCAGGUGCGAAAGCGUGGGGAGCAAACAGG